rnacentral:lncRNA from 1 species
CAAACGUUGAACAUCCCUCUUACUGAGCAAUUUGUGGGGGCUCUGGAAAGUGGCUGCUGCCAUUUUCCCCUUUCUUCAUGCAUUUUCUCUUAACAAUUUUCUCCGUUUUCUUUUGUUUUUUGAGAAAAAAGAAAAAGAGGGACAAUUUCUUCUCUUCCCAACUAGUGGAGAUUGGAGAGUUUCGGGGGAAGGGAAAAUCAGCUACAAAUUUUGAUUUUUGAAGCUAGUUUUUGCUUUUGGAGUUGUGCCUCUCGUAUGGCUAAUAUAGCUAAUCUUUCGUCGGCCUGGGUCCCUACAGACAACUUUUAAGAAUGACAUGGACUACUUGGCACGAUGAGAUAGGUUUUGUUUGUUUACAAGUUAGGUCUCGGGGCUUAGAGCUCCUAUGUUUUAGGCCAAGGCCUUUUGAUUUGGGCUAGGUGAUGGGAUAUGGAGCAUUCCAUUUAUGAGCUUUUUACACUGCGUAGUUUUAUGACGUUCUUAAUAUAUUAUCUCAUGUUAGACUGUAGGCUUUAUUUUGCCAAAAAAAGGAAAAAUCAUGUAUUUUUUCUCCUGAAGUCUUCCUGUAUUGCAUGUGCUGGUAAAAAAUUUGUUUACAGCAAAUAAA